rnacentral:rRNA from 1 species
UCCUGACUGACCGAUAGUGAACCAGUACCGUGAGGGAAAGGCGAAAAGAACCCCGGCGAGGGGAGUGAAAAAGAACCUGAAACCGUGUACGUACAAGCAGUGGGAGCACGCUUAGGCGUGUGACUGCGUACCUUUUGUAUAAUGGGUCAGCGACUUAUAUUCUGUAGCAAGGUUAACCGAAUAGGGGAGCCGAAGGGAAACCGAGUCUUAACUGGGCGUUAAGUUGCAGGGUAUAGACCCGAAACCCGGUGAUCUAGCCAUGGGCAGGUUGAAGGUUGGGUAACACUAACUGGAGGACCGAACCGACUAAUGUUGAAAAAUUAGCGGAUGACUUGUGGCUGGGGGUGAAAGGCCAAUCAAACCGGGAGAUAGCUGGUUCUCCCCGAAAGCUAUUUAGGUAGCGCCUCGUGAAUUCAUCUCCGGGGGUAGAGCACUGUUUCGGCAAGGGGGUCAUCCCGACUUACCAACCCGAUGCAAACUGCGAAUA